rnacentral:rRNA from 1 species
GACUAAAUUCAACGGCCGCGGUAUCCUAACCGUGCGAAGGUAGCGUAAUCACUUGUUUUUUAAAUGAAGACUAGUAUGAAUGGCACCACGAGGGUUAUACUGUCUCCUUUUUUUAAUCAAUGAAACUGAUCUCCCCGUGAAGAAGCGGGGAUAUUUAUAUAAGACGAGAAGACCCUAUGGAGCUUUAAACAAUUAUAGCACUGGCCCACACUUCUUAUUCUCCUGAGACAUAAUUAUUAUAUAGACCAACAUGACUAUUAGUUUUAGGUUGGGGUGACCACGGAGCAAAAAAUAACCUCCAUGUUGAACGGAGCUACUCCUGAGCUAAAAGCUACAACUUUAAGCACCAACAAACUGACAUCAAUUGACCCAACAUGUUGACCAACGAAUCAAGUUACCCUAGGGAUAACAGCGCAAUCCAUUUCAAGAGCUCCUAUCGACAAAUGGGUUUACGACCUCGAUGUUGGAUCAGGGUAUCCCAGUGGUGCAGCCGCUACUAAAGGUUCGUUUGUU